GCAGCCCUACGAGGCGGUGGAUUUCUCUCUCACGGUCAUGGAUUCUUCCCUUACUCUUCCUGUACUCCUUCUCUGUGCUCAUCGUUUGAUUCGAUCUGUUGUGGUUGUGUUUGUUGUUGGGGGAUCGAGGCGGUCGGCCGGGGGCGAGAUUAGGGUUGACAGAAGAGAGUGAGCACACGGCGGGGAGGGCAUCGGUGGCGGUGCCGUCGCUGCGGCGUGCUCACUCCUCUCUCUGUCAUCUCCAUCUCCCUGUGCGGGCCGCGGAAACUAAUCAAGGAUGCGUCUUUGUUUACCCCUCUUCGGAUCGGUGAAGCAGCGGGGAGGAAGUGGGAAAGAGCAGGGUGCAGGGCAUCAUCUCGAUGCGAUGGAAAUGCGUGCAGUUGUGCUUAUCUCAUGUCGGCCACUGUUGAUCUGAAGAGGAGGCUGGUCUCUGGAUUGGUUUCCGAGAAUAUUUCUCAUGGAUUGGAGUUGGACGCGUACGUGACUUUUGAGACGAAGGUACUUUGCGUUGGGGAACGGAAUUGGAUGGUAGAAGACGGGGAGUCAAGUUGAGUGAGAUCUGUCGAGAGCAAGUGCACGGUAGCUUGGACUGUGUUCAUUCUCCCAGAACAAGUUUGGUGGAAAGCUUCUAUCGCUUAAGUGACCAAAAUAUGGAGGAAGACAUACUUGAAUACGUCGAGUUUCGACCUCAUAAUCUAAUAUGGCAAAAUCAGUGAACAAAUGGGGAUAGAAGUGUUGGGAGUAAUAGACAGAUUAUAGUCCAAACAAUUGAGAGCUCUGUGCAAGUCAAUAGAAACAUGCUGCAUCAUCCCCACAAUUAAUGGAAAACAUAAAGUGGACCAGGAGUAUGUAUGACACCCUUCUUAGCACAGUUGUGGCAUACAAUAUGUUUUUGUUAAUCCAAGCUUAAAUUUUUGCACCCAAAUUUAUUAACUAAAGUAUGGACUGCCUGUGUAUUGUGACCAGUGAAUGCAAAUUAACUCGGAGGAAGAAUUGAAAAGGUUUCAAUAUUUUUGAUAGCAAGUGCUUGUCAUUAUGGUCUUCUUUGAUGCUCUCUUAACAAUAGAGACAGGGAUGAUUCCCAAGGUCACACGAGUGGAGUUAGUUUAUGAAAUAGGAAAGAUAGUACUACCUUUUCUGCUCUGAUAUUAUUUCCAACUUUUGCUACCUCCUUUUCUGCUCUGAUAUUAUUUCCAACUUUUGUCCAGCUCACGUACUAUUCAUGUUUUAUUAGAAGAGAAGGUACCUGUAGUACAUGGAUGUAGCUCACGCACUAUUCAUGUUUUAUUAGGCGAGAUGGUUCGUGUAGUACAUCUAUUUUAUAUAUGUGAAAAGAUACAGUUGAGAUGAAUCCUUAUGUAUUCUUUUUUGUUCACAAAGGACAAUUGCUGGCAAAUUUUUCGGGCCAGUUGUCACUGUCAACAAGCUUUCUGAGCAAGUGAUUAAUGAAGUUA